rnacentral:rRNA from 1 species
UACGAAGGCCCCAAGCGUUAUCCGGAUUUAUUGGGCGUAAAGAGCGCGUAGGGGGUCCGAUGCGUCCUGUUUUAAAUCUUUGGGCUUAACCCAAAGGCUGGGCAGGAUACGAUCGGACUUGAGGAUGUGAGAGGUAAGCGGAACACAUGGUGUAGGGGUGAAAUCCGUUGAUAUCAUGUGGAACACCGAAGGCGAAGGCAGCUUACUGGCACAUUCCUGACCCUCAGUGCGCGAAAGCGUGGGGAGCAAAAAGG